CAGUAGCCGCGGUAAUACGAAGGGUGCAAGCGUUACUCGGAAUUACUGGGCGUAAAGCGUGCGUAGGUGGUGGUUUAAGUCCGUUGUGAAAGCCCUGGGCUCAACCUGGGAAUUGCAGUGGAUACUGGGUCACUAGAGUGUGGUAGAGGAUAGUGGAAUUUCCGGUGUAGCAGUGAAAUGCGUAGAGAUCGGAAGGAACAUCUGUGGCGAAGGCGACUAUCUGGGCCAACACUGACACUGAGGCACGAAAGCGUGGGGAGCAAACAGGAUUAGAUACCCCCGAGUCCCUGUCUCUUAUACA
rnacentral:rRNA from 1 species